CCAUAGCACAGGUCUUAUCUGCAGUAGCGGCAUACCUGUAUCGCACUUGUAGCCGUCAAAACUGACAGCAUGUGCGCCACACGAAAAUGUUUGCUCGGUUGCCCGAAAACACCAUACGCGCGCGGGCCAACGGGCAUCAUCUUUUUUUCUUCUCUAUUGUGACCCAGACCCACGUCUACAAAUACUGGCCUUCGCGACCACCAUGAAUUCUCAUUCACCGAGCAGCAGGAUAUACACAGCUCGAGCUCGUCACAAGAAGUGCAGCCGGACAAAGUAAUUUGCAGGCACCAUGGCGUCCUUCGCUAGAGCUGCCCGUUUCAUGGUGCUUCUUUUGUUCAUCGUCUCCGCUAUGAUCAUGAGCAGCCCUGUCUGCCAUGGAGGCCGAGUUGGACCAGGAGGUCCAUCACCAGGACUAAAACCUAGUGCUGCUGUGGGCUCAUCGACCGAUGUUUUCCCCCGUCCGAUAUGUCGCCGAAAGGGAUGCCCGGUCCUGCCGCCGAGUGGCGCACCUGCACCGCCUUCCCCCAACAAUUGAACCGAUCGUUGGACGUCUUGAUGCCUGCAUGCCCACUGCUUGUACAAUUAAAUCCACGAUCUUAUUAAACCGGUAGUACAAUAAUAUCUUCUCGUCUACUUCCAUUUCAUUUAGUAUUAGUACGCUGAAUAAAUCUUAAGUAUGGGUCUGUAGCCUGAUGUGAAUGUUUGUGUAACCGUGGAACUUCGGUUCAAAACUAAUAAAGAUGGACAGUGAGUUAGGACACUA